GCGUGUGGUUGGCGCGCGCUGCUUUCCCUCCACUUGCUGCGCUGGGUUGGCGCGGCAGCAGUUAAGUUUUUACGAUGCUGCGCUCUUAGCGGGGGUGGGACCGGGACGAUCACGGUAAUAUAUUGAAUAGGACGGACGAAAAGGUCGUGGAGAAAGAAGUGAACACGCCCACCCACCCCAUUCAUCAGCAUUUUUUUCCAUCAGGCUAGAUAGUGAAAGGGAAUGCAAAAAUGAUAUCAGCUUUAAAACCCAAUAAGUUCAGAUUUCCAAGGCUACACCUUCCCAGUCUCAGCUUCCAUCUCUCAGAACAAUCAGAUCUAAUCUCCUUUUCUAUGUGCAGCCUCCAGUCCCUGUAUCAUCUCUCCACCACCACCCCUAUCCUGUAUAUCUAAUAUGAUUAGCCAGCCAAACAAGUUUAAAUGUUUCCUCAUUUUAGUGAUGUCUAUUUGCAAUAACCUUUUAACUUAAGCUGUCCUUGUUAUUCAGCAGACACUUGUAAAGUGUCAAGACAUGGCUGACAUUUGUAAGAGCAGGGUUGAGGACUGAAUAAAUCGGUUCAUGGAUCAAGCCAAAGGGUCGAACCAGAGUCAAAAUGGAGCAAACAAUAAGUUAGAGAGAUGAUAACGCAGGAAUCAUGAGACUGCAAGAAGCAGACAGACACAAGAACUGGAAAACAACUGGAAAUGGAGCAGGAAUUUAAGCUUGAAUAAAAGCUGGCUGGGUGCUAAAAGAUAAAAGCAGGAGCAUAACCUCCUGCACUUAUUUGCAAGUACAAAUGUAAAAAAAUAAAAAUUAAAAAUAAGCACAUAUUUUCUCACAAUGUGAGAAAGUUUCUGGUGUGUACUUUUUUAUUUAUUUAUCUAUGUCUCUAUUUAUCUAUCUAUUUAUUUAUUUUAUAUCCUGCUCUUUCUGACAGGCUCAGAGUGACUUACAGCAUCUUUUAAAAGUAAUAAUCCUGUCCCAAAAGUACUCACAAUCCUUUAAAAAAACGUUUUUAAGGCGGGGGGGGGAAGGUUGAGGGGAGAAUCCAGCAGGUAUUUGGUCCUUCUCAGGCCAAUGGAUCGGUAUUGCUGCUUUGCCUUGUGCUCUGCUGCAUCCUGAUGGUAAUGGCUGUAGAGAAGGACUUGGUUUUUCACAGAGGGGUGGGGUCAGAUGACAGCUGGUCCUCCUCCAGGCCAAUGGAAGGAUCUUGCUGUUUGCCUCACCCUCUGCUGCAGCCACCUGAUGGAGCAUACCUGCCAUCAGAUCUUGUUAAGUUAAUACAUUAUUGUCACUUUCCGUAUUUAUAAAGGGAACCGAAAGAAAGUUGUGUGAAGAACUGUGAAAUUCUGAUAACUGUAAUAUUUGUCUAAUGUGAUUUGCAAAAGGAAAAUAUCUUGAAGUGUUUUAGGGAAAUGUCUCUUUUGAAGUCAGUAUUUCAGUGUUGUUUGGCCUAUCGAGAGUUUAAUGUGAGAGCACAGAUUAUCACUGGGGCAGUCCCUGGACUCUGGGACUGAUAACCCAAAUUAAGCACUUUGGGGUAGAUAUUCCAGACUAACCUAUUGCAGUGGAACAGUGGCACACCUAGGCAUUUUGGAUGCCCGGGCUUAAAGGGCUCACCAACCUGGCCAAGGGCUUAGCUGCCGCCGUUGGCGGCAUGGCGAAAGGAUCUUAUGUAUUUGUUGCCUUUUUGUUCUUGACACUGAAUUUUCAAAUAAAAUAUGAAAAUCUA